rnacentral:rRNA from 1 species
UGAGGAAUAUUGCGCAAUGGCCGAAAGGCUGACGCAGCGACGCCGCGUGAGGGAUGAAGUCCGUUAGGAUGUAAACCUCUUUUGCAGGGGAUGAAUGUCCCGCUUCGCGCGGGAUUGACAGUACCCUGCGAAUAAGGAUCGGCUAACUACGUGCCAGCAGCCGCGGUAAUACGUAGGAUCCGAGCGUUGUCCGGAAUUACUGGGUGUAAAGGGCGUGUAGGUGGAUUCUUAAGUCGGUGGUGAAAGCCUGCAGCUUAACUGCAGAAUUGCCUUCGAUACUGAGGAUCUUGAGUACGGCAGAGGGAGAUGGAAUUCAUGGUGUAGCGGUGAAAUGUGUAGAUAUCAUGAAGAACACCGGUAGCGAAGGCGGUCUCCUGGUCCGUAACUGACACUGAUGCGCGAAAGCGUGGGGAGCAAACAGG